UUAAAAUGUUUUGAAUUUCUUUGGAUGAUUUUAAAUCUGAUUUUUAGAAAAAGGAAAUAUACCAUAAUAAUGGAAAAAAAAAAAUAACCCAUUUCAUUAUGUUUCGUGGGAUUUUGUGGGAAUGCCACAAUUGUACUUAGUUGUCCAAAUUUCACAAAGCUUUAGAAAAGAUAAACAGAACCCAAAACCUCAAUUCUCAAUUAUUCAUUCUUACAUCUCUUCUCUCUCUCAAAGAGUUGUUCUCCUCUGAAUUUCGGUUGCCGUGCUCAUUCUCCGUCGAUGGGCCUUGGUCGGCGUUCCGCCGGUACUGCGGCGCUGCCACUACCGUCAAAUGGGCUGCUGUUCUUCUUUCUUUUGCUUCUGUUCUGUCGUUUUUCGGUGUUACCGGUGCAUUUCUUCGUUCCUCUUCUCUUAUGUUUGGGUCUCGAUUUGCCAUUGUGAUUGCUACUCCUCUGAAAAUUUUCUCUCUCCUCUGUUAAUUGUUGUGGUCGUCGGUGUUUGAUCGGAAUUUCGGCACCGUUGAUGUUACCGUUUUGGUGUUCCUCGCCGGUGAGCUGCCGCCGUCAUUGCAUCGCAUGCUUCAUUGAUGAUGCUGGCGAAUUUUCUCUCUCCUUUGUUUCGGUAUGGUGCUGCCGUGAUGGUUGGUGAUUGUUGUUGCAGUUGUUGUUCGUCCCUGCUUAAUUUGAGCAGAGGUAUACGGAUAUGUUUUUGAUUUGUAAAUUCAAAAUCAGGUUAAUGUUGGAGUAUGGCUAUGGAGAUUGAUAAAGAAUUUGGAAAUGUUGGACUCUUGAAGAUUAUUGUGGAAUUGAGCAUUCUUUGGGGAAAAUGGAAGAGAGUUCAUUGUUAGUGGUCUUGCAGGUUCAUAUGUGGAAAACGGAAUGGAGUAAAGGAAGAAAUUAUGUAUCAAGGUUAUAGUAGAGGUAAUGGUGCAGAGGUUGUAUUUAGGAUUAUAUAUCUUUAUAAAGAAAUUGUUAUUAUAUUGCUUUAAGAGUCGAGUGAGGUAUCAUGUAAUAUGUUAUUAGGAUAUUGAGGAUGUGUUGUGGGCCCUGACCCACAGGUCCAGGAUCGAGUAAAAAGGUUUUGUUUCCGCUGCGAGUAAAUAGUUAAUUCGAGGUUAUUAAGUGUUAAUUGAGUUUUAUGAAUGUAAAGUAUGAUUAGCUAGCAGCUCGGAGGUGCGGGCUGUUACACUUUUGACCGUACAUGAUGAAUUAAUUCCCAGUGUAAAUUGACUAACAAAAUUCUAUUUAAUUCACUACAUCGCUCCAAUUUGAGGAGCAUUAAAUUUUACA